CCCAGGACUCAGAAGACAGAGGCAGAUGGAUCUCUUGGUAUGUAUGGGCAGCACACUUGCAAUAUCCAUGAAGGUCAAGAGAGGAUGUCAGAUCCCCUGGAACUGAAGUUAAAGACAAUUUAUGAGCCACCAUGGAAUCCAGUGAAGAGCACUGUGAGGGUGAGAUCUGCCAACAAGUGCAUCAUCCCAAGUUCCACGGUGCUCAGCUCAGCAUCAACCCACAAUGCAUUCAGGAAACCGACACCUUCAUAGCCGCUUUAGAGGAGCUUUGCAGAGAAGAAAAGGUGAAGUGACCCCUGCCUGUGUGGGAAGAAUUAAGAUCCCUACAAGUCAAAGUAAAUAAAUAGU